UAAAAGCAGAAGGGUUUUGCAAUAGCCGUGUGUAACAGGCUUGUCUCAGACGAAAUAAUCACUUCCUUUACAUAAUGCUCUUUUGCUUAAGAUCAGUGGUUUUUCAGUUUAGAAGACAGAUCAUUUUUAAAAGUAAGACAAGAAAUGGCAGAUGAAGACAUUCAGUAUGCUUCAGUUGUCUUCAAGAAUAAGAAACAACCACAACCAAAAAGUCCAAAUAAGGAGGAAACUAUUUAUGCUGAAGUAAAGAUGCAAAACGAAACACCUCAGGAAUCUUCUGACUCAAAAGUAAAUUGGAUCUUUUAUUCUCUAUUUAAUUACUGCUGCUUGGUGAAGAUAAACAAUUUUAUUCAGCAAGAAAACCUUUCACACAGUGUAUUGCUCCCAGGACUUUUAUCAGAGAAGGAAGCAGAAAGAAGACGCCGCUACUAUCAGAAGUUGUCUUGUUGUUUGGGGACAUUUUGUAUUAUAUUGGUGUUGGGAAUCAUAGGAAUCACUGUUUAUAAUGUAUGGUAUCAUCAAAAAGAGCUAAACGAGCUGAAAGAAAGCGGGGCAAAAAACAAAAACUUAACAGACCAGAUCAAUAACCUGACACAAGUCUCAGAAAGCAAGAUCCACAAUCUGAGGAUAGAAAAGCAGGAGCUCAAGGAGAAAAACCAUAACCUGACUAAACAAAUCCAGGAUCUGGAAGGAGAAAAUAGAAACCUGAAGGAACAAAUAGACAACAUGACGAAAACACAGAAUGAGCUCAAUGUCAGUCAAGCUCAGUGGAGCAUUGAUGAAUACUGCCGUAAAGACAACAGGAGAAGGUGUGAACCUUGUCAAAAAGGCUGGCAACCUUUCAACUCCAAGUGCUAUGUAUAUAAUAAUGCAAAAGGUUCUAAUCAGAAAAACUGGGAUGAAGCACAGCAAGACUGUAAAAGAAAAGUUUCACAUCUUAGUGUUGUAGAUAGUCAAAAGGAAAAGGUUCAUCUCAAAACAAUUAGUCCUGCUGAACCAGGGAUUGAUGGAUACUGGAUUGGCCUGAGAGCUGAAGGAAGCAAAUGGAAAUGGAUUGAUGGAGCUGAGCUAGCUAACCAGGACUGGAUAAAAACAGCUGCAGUUGAUGGUCAGUGUGUAACUUGCCUCAAAAAAGAAUGGAAGUCAGUGAGCUGUUAGAAGAAGAAUGCCUGGAUCUGUGAAAAGAAUGCUUUAUCUGUUUAAUUGGUCACAUUAAUUAGCAGAUAAUGUUUAAAUCUCCAAAGGACAUCAGGAAAUAUUUGAAUGUAAAUACAGAUAUUCAAUCAUUUGGAAAUUGGUGCCUGCAAAAUGUUCCAAAAACAUUGAGACAGAAGAAACAGGAGACUUUGGAAGUUGAUGAAUGCUCAACACAGCACUUGUUUGGAACAUUCCACAGGUGAACAGGUUAAAUGGAGACACCAACCCUGAUAGGCUCAGUCAUUAACAAGCAAGGAUGGGAAAGGUCUCCCUCUUUGUGAACCACUGAGUGAGCAAAUAGUCCAACAGUUUAAGAAUGUUUCUCAAUGUACAACUGCAAGGAAUUUAGGGAUUUUAUCAUCUACAGCCUAUAAUAUCAUCAAAAGAUUCAGAGAAUCUUGAGAAAUCUCUGGAAGAACGCUGCAAGGCCAAAAACCAACAUUGAAUGCUCAUGACCUUUGAUCCCUCAAGCAGCACUGCAUUAAAGGCUGACAUCAUUCUCCAACCAAUAUCAGCACAUUGGCUCAGGAAGACUUCAGAAAACCAUUGUCAUUGAAAAUGUGUAGUGAAACACGAAGCACCAAAUACAGCAACAGAUAUGUUAGUUUGAUAUGAUAGUUCCCAAACGUUUAGUGAGUGUUGAGAUGUGACACAGUAGUAAAGUUGUUCCUGUACCAACAUUUGCAGGCAUCAAAAUCUAAAUGAGUGAAUGUUUACAAAAAAUAAAGUUUUUCCAUUUAAAAUUGCAUACCUCCUCUUAUUAGUGAGUUCAAUUGAAUAUAGGUUAACAAGGAUUUACAAAUCGUCAUAUUAUUGUUAUUUAUGUUUUCCAUAAAAUAAAAACUCUUGUCAUUAAAAUCA